GACGAACGCUGGCGGCGUGCUUAACACAUGCAAGUCGAACGGAAAGACGCUGCUUUUGUGGGGUUCUCGAGUGGCGAACAGGUGAGUGACACAUGAGUAACAUGCCCCUGUCUUUGUGAUAACUUCAGGAGAAAGGGGCUCUUACCGCGGAUAAUCUCUUGCUCCGUGUGGGUGGAUGGUGAGAUUCGGCGGUUGGGGCUGGACUAGCGGGUUACCAGCUUGUUGGGCGGGUAGUGGCUUACGAAGGCUUUGACGGGUAGCCGGCCUGGGAGGGUGACCGGCCACAAUGGGACUGAGAUACGGCCCAGACUCCUACGGGAGGCAGCAGUGGGGAAUAUGGCACAAUGGGCGGGAGCCUGAUGCAGCAACGCCGCGUGCGGGAUGACGGCCUUCGGGUUGUAAACCGCUUUCGCCGGUGACGAAGAGUGAGUGACGGUAAUUGGUAAAGAAGCACCGGCUAACUACGUG
rnacentral:rRNA from 1 species